rnacentral:rRNA from 1 species
UACGUAGGUGACCAGCGUUGUCCGGAUUUACUGGGCGUAAAGAGCGCGCAGGCGGUCGUUCAAGUCGAGUGUGAAAGCCCCCGGCUCAACUGGGGAGGGUCACUUGAUACUGAUCGACUGGAAGGCAGGAGAGGGAAGCGGAAUUCCCGGUGUAGUGGUGAAAUGCGUAGAUAUUGGGAGGAACACCAGUGGCGAAGGCGGCUCACUGGACCGGAACUGACGCUGAGGCGCGAAAGCGUGGGGAGCGAACAGG